rnacentral:rRNA from 1 species
GGCGGACGGGCGAGUAACGCGUAGGAAUCUGCCCAAAAGUGGGGGACAGCGUGGGGAAACCCACGCUAAUACCGCAUAAGCCCCACGGGGUAAAGCAGGGGAUCUUCGGACCUUGCGCUUUUGGAUGAGCCUGCGUUGGAUUAGCUAGUUGGUGAGGUAAAGGCUCACCAAGGCGACGAUCCAUAGCUGUUCUGAGAGGAAGAUCAGCCACACUGGGACUGAGACACGGCCCAG